UCUUAUCCCGAGCUGGUGGAGGGACAGGCCCUAUGAAACCCAGCAACCUGCCAACUACAUUUUUAUGAGCAAAGGUGCUAACCUGAUGCAAGGAUUUAUUACUCACUAUCCUUGAACGAUAAG
rnacentral:ncRNA from 1 species